GACGAAGGAUGCAAGCGUUAUCCGGAUUCAUUGGGUUUAAAGGGAGCGUAGGUGGCCUUAUAAGUCAGUGGUGAAAUCUCUCGGCUUAACUGAGAAAUUGCCAUUGAUACUGUAGGGCUUGAGUACAGUUGCUGUGGGCGGAAUAUGACAUGUAGUGGUGAAAUACAUAGAUAUGUCAUAGAACACCGAUUGCGAAGGCAGCUAACGAAACUAUAACUGACGCUGAGGCACGAAAGUGCGGGGAUCAAACAGG
rnacentral:rRNA from 1 species